rnacentral:rRNA from 1 species
GACGAACGCUGGCGGCGUGCUUAACACAUGCAAGUCGAACGGAAAGGCCCUGCUUUUGUGGGGUGCUCGAGUGGCGAACGGGUGAGUAACACGUGAGUAACCUGCCCUUUACUUUGGGAUAACUUCAGGAAACUGGUGCUAAUACCGGAUAGGAGCUCCUGCUGCAUGGUGGGGGUUGGAAAGUUUCGGCGGUUGGGGAUGGACUCGCGGCUUAUCAGCUUGUUGGUGGGGUAGUGGCUUACCAAGGCUUUGACGGGUAGCCGGCCUGAGAGGGUGACCGGCCACAUUGGGACUGAGAUACGGCCCAGACUCCUACGGGAGGCAGCAGUGGGGAAUAUUGCACAAUGGGCGGAAGCCUAAUGCAGCAACGCCGCGUGCGGGAUGACGGCCUUCGGGUUGUAAACCGCUUUCGCCUGUGACGAAGCGUGAGUGACGGUAAUGGGUAAAGAAGCACCGGCUAACUACGUG